rnacentral:lncRNA from 10 species
GCCUGCUACGGUCCUGGCAAGCACCUCGGGAUCCCAUUCCUUCACAGGGACCCUAGCCAGGCAAGCGCGCGCCUCACUGUACCGGAGAGCUCCAAGCACGCGCUUGGUCUGGGGCCCGGACGCUACAUCUGGGAAGGGUUAAAGCUGAUACAUUCCUGUGGGUCAACUAUGCAACUAACUCAGAUUUUGAGCAAACAAAGCUCUCAAGUUGGUGAUCCUCAGGAGUCUCUGCAUUAGUUGGACAGCUCUUCUGGAAUUAUCUUCUAAGUCAACUGUGGGUUGGGUAGGUGGCUCUGCUGAUUUUUCGCUGGACUUCCACAUUUGGGACGAGUUGGCUGUCAUCAGCUCUAGAAAGGGUGUGGCCGUUUUACAUUGGCUGUUUUCCUCACAUUCCUCAAGCAGGUACUGUAAUAAAGAACUGGAGAAAUACAGUCAGAUGGGAAGUAGCCCUUGCUGUCAAGGAGCUUGCCAUCUAAUGGGGGAGACAGGCAAGUAAACCAAAGACUACACAGUGCAGUAUGGUAAGUGCCAUGAUUUUGAUGUGACAGGGCACAGUGGACGACCUUCCAAAUCAAAGCAAGUAACUAGGGGUUGACAAUGGUAAGUAUCAUAGUUGAAGUAUCCUUGAACAAGGUUUCAGGAAGAAGAAGAAGGGAAUUUCAUGCAGGGAAACAGCCAAAGCUCAGUGAGUCAAAAUAUCACAGCAUUCUUGGUAAGCCCAAUUGUUUUUUCUGUUUUGCUAUUUUGG